ACGAACGCUGGCGGCGUGCUUAACACAUGCCAGUCGAACGGAAAGGCCCUGCUUUUGUGGGGUGCUCGAGUGGCGAACGGGUGAGUAACACGUGAGUAACCUGCCCUUGACUUUGGGAUAACUUCAGGAAACUGGGGCUAAUACCGGAUAGGAGCUCCUGCUGCAUGGUGGGAGUUGGAAAGUUUCGGCGGUUGGGGAUGGACUCGCGGCUUAUCAGCUUGUUGGUGGGGUAGUGGCUUACCAAGGCUUUGACGGGUAGCCGGCCUGAGAGGGUGACCGGCCACAUUGGGACUGAGAUACGGCCCAGACUCCUACGGGAGGCAGCAGUGGGGAAUAUUGCACAAUGGGCGGAAGCCUGAUGCAGCAACGCCGCGUGCGGGAUGACGGCCUUCGGGUUGUAAACCGCUUUCGCCUGUGACGAAGCGUGAGUGACGGUAAUGGGUAAAGAAGCACCGGCUAACUACGUG
rnacentral:rRNA from 1 species